rnacentral:rRNA from 1 species
GAUGAACGCUGGCGGCGUGCCUAAUACAUGCAAGUCGAGCGAAUGGAUUAAGAGCUUGCUCUUAUGAAGUUAGCGGCGGACGGGUGAGUAACACGUGGGUAACCUGCCCAUAAGACUGGGAUAACUCCGGGAAACCGGGGCUAAUACCGGAUAACAUUUUGAACCGCAUGGUUCGAAAUUGAAAGGCGGCUUCGGCUGUCACUUAUGGAUGGACCCGCGUCGCAUUAGCUAGUUGGUGAGGUAACGGCUCACCAAGGCAACGAUGCGUAGCCGACCUGGGAGGGUGAUCGGCCACACUGGGACUGAGACAAGGCCCAGACUCCUACGGGAGGCAGGAGUAGGGAAUCUUCCGCAAUGGACGAAAGUCUGACGGAGCAACGCCGCGUGAGUGAUGAAGGCUUUCGGGUCGUAAAACUCUGUUGUUAGGGAAGAACAAGUGCUAGUUGAAUAAGCUGGCACCUUGACGGUACCUAACCAGAAAGCCACGGCUAACUACGUGCCAGCCGCCGCGGUAA